rnacentral:lncRNA from 1 species
UAUCAUCAGAUGGUCGUAACUUUAUGGCGAAAUAUGAGAAUAUCAUCAUGGUCAUACUCGUCCCUCUUGUUUUCUUUAUUCAAUUAAGGCUGGCGGAUAUUAGUUCAAUGAGCCCUGUUGACAACAGAAUCUUUGGGAUCUUAUUCAUAAUUUUGCUAUCAAAUGCAAUUUCAGUCGUAGAAGUUGGUUUUUUCUCAUGGACCGCUGCUAGCAUCAUUUUGAUCGUUUCGGCCAUGGUAAUUGCAUCGCUUGUCCAUGAUACUUGGGAAGUCAUCUCUACUGAAGACAUUGUAUUCUCAAAGGGAAUACAAAAAUUCGUAUCAGUUAUCUGUUUCUUAUCAAUAG